GAUCUUUAUAUAUUUAUAGUUUUUGUAAAAAUUAGUUGAUUUAUUUUUGAAUAUUAUAUUAUAUUAUAUUGGGGUAAUAAUAAAAUUUUAAAAAUUUUUAUUUAUUAGAUUCAUAAUUAAUUGUUUUUUUGAUCCAGUAUUAUUGAUUAUAAAAUGAAGUUACCUUAGGGAUAACAGCAUAAUGAUUUUUGAGAGUUCUUAUCAA
rnacentral:rRNA from 2 species